rnacentral:misc_RNA from 1 species
GCUGCCUAGCACACCUGAGAAUCUGUAUGAAAAACAGAAACAGCCACUAAAUUUCAAUUUAUACCUCCAAAGAACCAUCAAAUUUCCCAGCCCAGCUAAAAUGUGUAGUGAUUUUUACCAAUAAAAUAAAGUAGAAAAUCUAUCAUGUCUGCAUCAAGCAUUCACUUGUGUGACCAAAAAGAUUCUUCUUUUGAAAACUAAAUGGCAAACACCUCAAGGAAAAAAAAGAGUUCGAUAAAUGUUUUUCCAAAAACCAUUUUAAAAGAUUUGGAUUCCAAAAUAAUCAAAUUCUAACGUAUCAUAUUUCUCGGUGCUAUUAAACAUAAACCUUGUGAGGUAAUAACUCAUUCUGAUGCAAUGGAAACAUCACUUAGAAACAUUAGUUCAAACUAUAAUCAAGUUUAAACAUGCCAAAGGCUGGCGUGCAGUGGAAUUGGAGCAAGCCACACUCAAGGCAGGGUAGUAGCACUACAUUAAAGAGCACAAAGACAACUCUUGAUAGCCAAUGAUGAAUACACAAUGACCUUAGUGGAAUAUCAUAGAGUUAUCAAAAAAUAAAAGAAAAGAAAAGGAGAAGACAGAAGAGAAGCAAUGCAGAAGCCACUAACUUUGGCUGGAAGUAAAAUUCUAGUAGUUAAGGAUACCUCCACAUGUCCAGCAUGGAAGAG